CCCAUGUUCCUUAGAUCCACUCUUGGGUUAACUGGCCUUGUCCACAGAUUCAGGUGGACAGCCCUCUUAUCAGCAACUUGACAUGUUGCAUGUCGAGAGUGCUUGAGUCAUAAACAUGGCAGAGAAAUAUACCUCAAUUAGUGAACCCUGGUUAAAUCUAUUUAUGAAUUAACUCUCUCACUAACUUGGACAAUAAUUGUGGGAAUUU